rnacentral:rRNA from 1 species
AGAGUUUGAUCAUGGCUCAGAUUGAACGCUGGCGGCAGGCCUAACACAUGCAAGUCGAGCGGUAGCACAGAGAGCUUGCUCUCGGGUGACGAGCGGCGGACGGGUGAGUAAUGUCUGGGAAACUGCCUGAUGGAGGGGGAUAACUACUGGAAACGGUAGCUAAUACCGCAUAACGUCGCAAGACCAAAGUGGGGGACCUUCGGGCCUCAUGCCAUCAGAUGUGCCCAGAUGGGAUUAGCUAGUAGGUGGGGUAACGGCUCACCUAGGCGACGAUCCCUAGCUGGUCUGAGAGGAUGACCAGCCACACUGGAACUGAGACACGGUCCAGACUCCUACGGGAGGCAGCAGUGGGGAAUAUUGCACAAUGGGCGCAAGCCUGAUGCAGCCAUGCCGCGUGUGUGAAGAAGGCCUUCGGGUUGUAAAGCACUUUCAGCGGGGAGGAAGGCGAUAAGGUUAAUAACCUUGUCGAUUGACGUUACCCGCAGAAGAAGCACCGGCUAACUCCGUGCCAGCAGCCGCGGUAAUACGGAGGGUGCAAGCGUUAAUCGGAAUUACUGGGCGUAAAGCGCACGCAGGCGGUCUGUCAAGUCGGAUGUGAAAUCCCCGGGCUUAACCUGGGAACUGCAUUCGAAACUGGCAGGCUAGAGUCUUGUAGAGGGGGGUAGAAUUCCAGGUGUAGCGGUGAAAUGCGUAGAGAUCUGGAGGAAUACCGGUGGCGAAGGCGGCCCCCCUGGACAAAGACUGACGCUCAGGUGCGAAAGCGUGGGGAGCAAACAGGAUUAGAUACCCUGGUAGUCCACGCCGUAAACGAUGUCGAUUUGGAGGUUGUGCCCUUGAGGCGUGGCUUCCGGAGCUAACGCGUUAAAUCGACCGCCUGGGGAGUACGGCCGCAAGGUUAAAACUCAAAUGAAUUGACGGGGGCCCGCACAAGCGGUGGAGCAUGUGGUUUAAUUCGAUGCAACGCGAAGAACCUUACCUGGUCUUGACAUCCACAGAACUUUCCAGAGAUGGAUUGGUGCCUUCGGGAACUGUGAGACAGGUGCUGCAUGGCUGUCGUCAGCUCGUGUUGUGAAAUGUUGGGUUAAGUCCCGCAACGAGCGCAACCCUUAUCCUUUGUUGCCAGCGGUUCGGCCGGGAACUCAAAGGAGACUGCCAGUGAUAAACUGGAGGAAGGUGGGGAUGACGUCAAGUCAUCAUGGCCCUUACGACCAGGGCUACACACGUGCUACAAUGGCAUAUACAAAGAGAAGCGACCUCGCGAGAGCAAGCGGACCUCAUAAAGUAUGUCGUAGUCCGGAUUGGAGUCUGCAACUCGACUCCAUGAAGUCGGAAUCGCUAGUAAUCGUAGAUCAGAAUGCUACGGUGAAUACGUUCCCGGGCCUUGUACACACCGCCCGUCACACCAUGGGAGUGGGUUGCAAAAGAAGUAGGUAGCUUAACCUUCGGGAGGGCGCUUACCACUUUGUGAUUCAUGACUGGGGUGAAGUCGUAACAAGGUAACCGUAGGGGAACCUGCGGUUGGAUCACCU